UGCAGUCGACGCUUUGUGGUUCAACUGAUUUGAAGAGCUUGCUCAGAUAUGACGAUGGACAUUGCAAAGAGUGGCGAACGGGUGAGUAACACGUGGGAAACCUACCUCUUAGCAGGGGAUAACAUUUGGAAACAGAUGCUAAUACCGUAUAACAAUAGCAACCGCAUGGUUGCUACUUAAAAGAUGGUUCUGCUAUCACUAAGAGAUGGUCCCGCGGUGCAUUAGUUAGUUGGUGAGGUAAUGGCUCACCAAGACGAUGAUGCAUAGCCGAGUUGAGAGACUGAUCGGCCACAAUGGGACUGAGACACGGCCCAUACUCCUACGGGAGGCAGCAGUAGGGAAUCUUCCACAAUGGGCGAAAGCCUGAUGGAGCAACGCCGCGUGUGUGAUGAAGGGUUUCGGCUCGUAAAACACUGUUGUAAGAGAAGAAUGACAUUGAGAGUAACUGUUCAAUGUGUGACGGUAUCUUACCAGAAAGGAACGGCUAAAUACGUGCCAGCAGCCNNCGGU
rnacentral:rRNA from 1 species